UACAAUCUUCCAACAAGAGAUGAGAAAGGGAGGGUGAGGGUGAGGGACGGAUACAAAAAGCUCCAUAGAGUUUGCCUAGAAAUAAGAUCCGAAAGUUGGAAAUUGGAUCCAAGUUGGGCUAGUUCAUCACCGCAUCAAUUGGCUUACCUAAAGAUGUAAAAAUUUAUUAAAGUCGAUAAAUUACUCCAUAGUGAUCAGGAGCAUCUUGUAAUCAUUUAUCCAAGUCGAUAACAAUAAAUUAGUACAAUUAACAUUAGUCAUGAAGCUAACAACAGAAGUAACUCUACUUCUAUCUCUAACUCUAUGUUGCUAAUGGUAAGGCUUUUAGCUACUAGGGAUGUGUCUAAAUGACCCUAUGACCCAAUCUCUGUUAUGGUUUCGAAUGAUUGCUCUCGCUCUUGCUUUGCUUGGGUUCACAACCGAUGAUCUGUCCAUGUUUAGUUUGAACCAUCCCCAUUGUGGCUUAAUCCAUGAUACCUCUACAAAUGUUGGGAUAUAGAUGGUGCGAGGUGGUUGAGAUAAGGCGAAGCACUCAGCAGCGCUCGAUAUGGUAUUUGCUUUGGUGGCAGUUAUUUAUGGAUUUCCUCCAUGCAGUACUGCAUUUCUGAACAACCAAAUUCCCCAAAGGUUCUAGGCAACAUAACUCUCCAUGGAAUUUUUGGCCUGUCAAUUAGUCCAGCAUUUUGUUGAGAGGUGUCUUAUUGUUUCCUCAUGAGCAUGGCAUCGCGAGCAAAGGCAGCUGACGUUAAUGCCUCUCGUAUUCAAAAAUUUCUUUAUGGGGAGUGCUUUGAGGCUGCAGUUCCAUAAAAAAGAAUUUAAUCUUGGGUAGGAGCUUAGCUUUCCAUAUGCUGUCCCAAGUUGGGAUGUUCCCUCUUAGAGCCAUAUUUUUCUUUCUCUCGACUACAAUAUCAUAUGUCGUUUGAAGUGAAAAUAGGCUUGUACGGGAUGGGCUCCAAACUAAAGAACCUGUAGCACUCCCAGUAAUUGAAGUUGGUGAGCUUGUCAAUGCUUAGAUCAAUUCUCUAGGGAGUUCAAAUAAGAAACUGUCGAUCUCUUGUAAAACCCAAUUCUCUCUAACUUGAUGGAAUGACCAAAGUCCCUCAUCUCGGUUAAGGGGACCCACAACUAGCUUUCUUAAAGGCCCAAGACCUGACCAGUUAUUUGACCAAAAAUUAAUUUAGGGUCUGUUUAAUUAAAGGAAUUGAUUUUCCAGAAAAUCAUUUCCAACUUUUCCAGCGUUUGAUUGGCGGAAAACAUUUUCCAUUUGGAAAAUGAACUCCAAAGCAAGGGAAAAUGGGUUACAUUUUAGGGAAAAUGUCUUACCCUUUCAAUUUCCGUAAGACAUUUUCCGUGCUCUCCUCUCUAUCGCCUCCUUCAUUCCUUCCUUCAUUUCCGGUAGAAAAUUGCUUCUGUUUAUCGAUUUUCCAGUAACUUGUUUUUUAAUUAUUCAAUACUUGUUUUUUUA
rnacentral:lncRNA from 1 species